rnacentral:rRNA from 1 species
AUGGCGAAGACGACGCCAUCAUCAAAACUGGGAGUAGCAGCAGGAGGCGCGACCCUUGCUACAAGGAGAACAGCAGCUGAAGACCAUCAGGAAGAAGAUUGCCAUGUGCCACGACAUAGCCGUGCUGAGCAGGCUAGGGAGACAGCGGAUGGAGCCAAGGGUAGCGCAGAGAAAGGACGACAGGGGGUCGGGAACACUUUGUUUUCCCGCAUGAACGUAGAUGGAAAAGACACACCUAAUGGACGAAGGAAAUCAAAGGGUAUGGUUGCCGAGAGGAGGAAAGCAAGCGGAGUAUAUUUGCUUCUGUUGUGA